UACGGAGGGUGCAAGCGUUAAUCGGAAUUACUGGGCGUAAAGCGCACGCAGGCGGUCUGUUAAGUCAGAUGUGAAAUCCCCAGGCUUAACCUGGGAACUGCAUUCGAGACUGCAUAGCUAGAGUAUGGGAGAGGGAAGUGGAAUUUCAGGUGUAGCGGUGAAAUGCGUAGAUAUCUGAAGGAACAUCAGUGGCGAAAGCGACUGCCUGGACCAAUACUGACGCUCAUGUGCGAAAGCGUGGGGAGCAAACAGG
rnacentral:rRNA from 1 species